rnacentral:rRNA from 1 species
GAUGAACGCUAGCUACAGGCUUAACACAUGCAAGUCGCGGGGCAGCAUGGGGGUUGCUUGCAAUCCCCGAUGGCGACCGGCGCACGGGUGAGUAACGCGUAUCCAACCUGCCCUUCACCACGGGAUAACCCGGCGAAAGUCGGACUAAUACCGUAUGUUGUCCAUUGACGGCAUCCGAUUUGGACGAAAGGCUUGGCGGUGAGGGAUGGGGAUGCGUCCGAUUAGCCAGACGGCGGGGUAACGGCCCACCGUGGCUACGAUCGGUAGGGGUUCUGAGAGGAAGGUCCCCCACACUGGAACUGGGACACGGUCCAGACUCCUACGGGAGGCAGCAGUGAGGAAUAUUGGUCAAUGGGCGUAAGCCUGAACCAGCCAAGUAGCGUGCAGGAUGACGGCCCUAUGGGUGGUAAACUGCUUUUAUGCGGGGAUAAAGUGGCCCACGUGUGGGCUUUUGCAGGUACCGCAUGAAUAAGGACCGGCCAAUUCCGUG